rnacentral:rRNA from 1 species
AUCCUUAAGGAUUAGUGGCAGUCGGGUGAGUAACGCGUGGGAAGCUACCUUGUGGUAGGGAACAACAGUUGGAAACGACUGCUAAUACCCUAUGAGCCCUAUGGGGGAAAGAUUUAUCGCCAUGAGAUGUGCCCGCGUUAGAUUAGCUAGUUGGUAAGGUAAUGGCUUACCAAGGCGACGAUCUAUAGCUGGUCUGAGAGGAUGAUCAGCCACACUGGGACUGAGACACGGCCCAGACUCCUACGGGAGGCAGCAGUGGGGAAUAUUGGACAAUGGGGGCAACCCUGAUCCAGCCAUGCCGCGUGUGUGAUGACGGCCUUAGGGUUGUAAAGCACUUUCAGCAGUGAAGAUAAUGACAUUAACUGCAGAAGAAGCCCCGGCUAACUUCGUGCCAGCAGCCGCGGUAAUACGAAGGGGGCUAGCGUUGUUCGGAAUCACUGGGCGUAAAGCGUACGUAGGCGGACUGAUCAGUCAGGGGUGAAAUCCCGGGGCUCAACCCCGGAACUGCCUUUGAUACUGUCAGUCUUGAGAUCGAGAGAGGUGAGUGGAACUCCGAGUGUAGAGGUGAAAUUCGUAGAUAUUCGGAAGAACACCAGUGGCGAAGGCGGCUCACUGGCUCGAUACUGACG